AUUUCUAACAUUGUGUGUUUUGUAGGUUGAUGCUCACUCAUUUGUGUUUGCCUUUGGCUUGCACCUUGUGUGCAUUGAGAUCAUCUGUUGCUUAUUGACUGUUAUUUGUUUGUCUGAGUAUUGUCACUACGCCAAAAACUGGAAUAGACAGUGCCCCUUAGAAGGCGCUUUAUUACAAAAGCGCACUCUAAAGUGAAGAGAAAAAAUAAGGAGCAUACUAUUGGAAUAGACAACGUACUUUAGAGGGCGCUUUUGUAACAAAGCGCACUCUAAAGUGAAGCGAAAAAAUAAUGAGGAAAUGGAG
rnacentral:lncRNA from 1 species